GGCGACUUGGCGGCGGGUGCCAUGCGUCUGGAGCUUCACAUUCUCUGCCCCCCACCCACCGCGCCGGCGCUCCCUUGUCACGCCUCGGGAAGCGCGCACCUGCCAAGCAGACAAGGUCACUCUGUCGCCGGAGGGCAGUGGCAUGAUCAUAGGUCACUGUAACCUGGAACUCCUGGGUUCAGGCAAUCUUCCCACUUCAGCUUCCUGAGUAGCUAGAAUUACAGGAUGAAUAAUCUGAUAUCAUGUGAAAUGAGGAAAUAAGAAGCUUUCUGCUGACUUCAUUUUGACCCAGGGUCCAAAAGGUGAUGUAAUCCUGUGGCAAGAAGAUUCAAAACUGUGGACUAUCUUGCAAAAAAUACAAGAAGAUAUUGAAAGUUUUCAUGAGUGCCUACCACCUAAUCUCAAACACUAUCAUUCAUAUGUGCCUCAUUGAGCAAAUCUUUAAUGAGGAUCUAUAUGCCAGAAACAGAAAGUACAUGAUGGACUUCAUUGAAGGAUGGAGAUUUGGAAGACAUGAAUGGAUGAAGAACCAAGUGCGUGAGGGCACCUAUCAGGAUUAUUGCUGAAAUCCUUAUGGAGUUAACUGGCUGAGAGGAAGUAGAGAUGGGGUUUCACCAUGUUGCCCAGGCUGGUCUCAAACUCCUGAGCUCAGGCCAUCUGCCCGCCUCGGCCUCCCAAAGUGCUAGGAUUACAGAAGGUGCCUGCUUCCCCUUCACCUUCCACCAUGAUUGUAAGUUUCCUGAGGCCUCCCCAGACAUGUGGAACUGUGAGUCAAUUAAAUCUCUUUUCUUUAUAAAUUA
rnacentral:lncRNA from 1 species